rnacentral:piRNA from 1 species
UUGAAGUGUAGAGCCUUUACUCUUCCAGUU